CCGAGUUUACAACUCCCAAACCCCCUGCGAACCGUACAGCGUUGCCUCGGCGGGACCGCCCCGGCGCCCAUCGCGGCCCGGACCCAGGCGCCCGCCGGAGGGCCCCAAGACUCAACUGUCAGCGGCAUCUCGGCGUACAAGCAAAACAAAUGAAUCA
rnacentral:misc_RNA from 1 species